AUUGAACGCUGGCGGCAGGCCUAACACAUGCAAGUCGAGCGGAUGACGGGAGCUUGCUCCUCGAUUCAGCGGCGGACGGGUGAGUAAUGCCUAGGAAUCUGCCUGGUAGUGGGGGACAACGUUUCGAAAGGAACGCUAAUACCGCAUACGUCCUACGGGAGAAAGCAGGGGACCUUCGGGCCUUGCGCUAUCAGAUGAGCCUAGGUCGGAUUAGCUAGUUGGUGGGGUAAUGGCUCACCAAGGCGACGAUCCGUAACUGGUCUGAGAGGAUGAUCAGUCACACUGGAACUGAGACACGGUCCAGACUCCUACGGGAGGCAGCAGUGGGGAAUAUUGGACAAUGGGCGAAAGCCUGAUCCAGCCAUGCCACGUGUGUGAAGAAGGUCUUCGGAUUGUAAAGCACUUUAAGUUGGGAGGAAGGGCAGUAAGUUAAUACCUUGCUGUUUUGACGUUACCGACAGAAUAAGCACCGGCUAACUCUGUGCCAGCAGCCGCCGUAAUAC
rnacentral:rRNA from 1 species